GCCAGUGAGGGCCAACCAGCCAGCCAGCCAAUGCAGAGGACCAAUGGUCAGUGAGGGCCAACCAGCCAACCAGCCAAUGCAGAGGGCCAAUGGCCAGUGAGGGCCAACCAGCCAGCCAGCCAAUGCAGAGGACCAAUGGCCAGUGAGGGCCAACCAGCCAGCCAGCCAAUGCAGAGGGCCAAUGGCCAGUGAGGGCCAGCCGGCCGGCCAGCCAGCCAGCUGAAGGCAGUCAAGGCCAGUCAUCUUCUCAGCAAUUGACAAGCUGGCACCUGGUGAGCCAGCUGGCCAGCCUUGCAGUGAAAUGGGGGAAGUCAGUCAGUCACCUGGCAUUUCGUCCAAAUUACCUUACUGCUCAUCAGGCAACUUGAGCAACCUUUUCUUCGGUUCAUGCUUCGAUAAACACUUUUUUCAGCAGACGAUUGCAAAAUACGCAAGCGCAUUGACAAAUAUUUCUUGCUUACAGUAGCAAGAAUUUUCUUCGGCCGUGAAAAAGGAUCGCGUAAGCAAAGAAUUUUCUGCUACCGCAAGCGCCAACGUUUCGCUUACGAAUGAACUGGCUCGGUAUUUCCAAAAGCCAAGGUCUUUCAGGAACACAGCGCAGGCGAGUCAGCGUAUGGCUUUCCCGUUAGGACAGACCAUCACUUGUGCAUGUAGCUGUUCCUGGAAAUUUGGGGGAAAAUGUAAUCUCUGGGGUUUUGGACACAAAACCAAAUGCACAGUAAAAAGUUUUUUAAGCACAGAAGGCAAAGCAACUUUAUUAGUAUGAAAAUAUACACAAAAAAUGUUAAAUUUUACCAAUUUACCUAGUAUACAUGCAUGUUGAUGACAUGUAUGCACUUGUACAAUUAUGCUUAUGUGAAACAAAAA